AACCCUUGCUGUGUUACGAAACUUUCCUUCC
rnacentral:piRNA from 1 species